ACCAGUUUAAUGCACUGAUUGUGGGUACAAAAUAUUUGUGGCUAAAAUAAACAAUUUUAAAUGAAAUGACUACGUAAUAUUUGGCAACAUUAUUUGAAACAGAUAUGGAUUUGAGUACCAGACUUAUAUGACACUGAUCUACAUAAAUAACUAUUAGUAUUACAUAUGAAUGAACCAUUAAUUGGAUAUUAGGCCAGGACAACAUCACAUUUGGAAUUUAGGUAAUUUAACACUAAAGGUUCAGUAGCCAGUCAAGUAUUCUUCAUAAGCAAAUUUGUACCAGUUUCAAAUUUAAAUAUGUCCAAAAUGUCCGAUGAUAUUAUUUUUAAACAACUUAAAUCGACACUCACGGAGGCUUUUCAAAUAGCUUCUAACCUCAAAAACAUUCCAACAGAAUUGGAAAAUAUUAAAGAUCUCGAUGAAUACGACAAGCCAUCUACGAGCGGAGUUGAUCCCACAACCCUCGUCACCAGAGGCAUCAUUGAGAUUGUGCCUAGUCACAAGCCCUACGCACCGAAGAGGUUACGUCGUGAGGAUGUGCCCUCGCCACAGCCGCGUAAACAGCAGGCCAAUACCCAGGUCACCAGGAAAUUUGUACGCGCAGGAAGACGAAUUGCGGCGCGUCCCCCUGAGACGGAAUAAAGUCAGUGAUAUCGAUAAUGUUUUUUAACGUGUUGCCUUGAUGGUCAUCAAUUAUUAUAUAUUUUUUUGUUUUGUUCCUGUGAUGAAAUUGUAUGUUUUUUAUAUUUUUGUAAUAAUUUUAUUAUUUUUUAUCGUCUUACCUAGCUUUAAAUAAUUUAUGAAUAACGUGUAUUUUAAAAUUGAAUUUAAACCAUUUCACUUUUAUUUAGUACUCGUUAAACCAAUUUUAUAUGUAUGUUGCAGUAUUUUGAAGUGUUUAGAUCAGCUAUAUUUUUAAAUAACUUUAUCUUAUAUCUAUUUUUCAAAUAAACAAUACUUUGUA